ACGUUCUUUCUCUCAGACGAUGCAGAGAAUUUCUAUUGCCGGGGGGCCGGAAGCUUUUUAGGGAAAUAGGAUUCUUGUCAGCUGGGUUAUGUCACCAGCUGAAUUUUGGAUCAGGGCAUAAAUACUGUAAUUAAAAGAUAAAAAUAGGCACGAUGCAAGUACCUUGCACCGAAGGCACAGGGUUUGUACUGUCCUUACUUCCCCUUUGUGCUCUGAUUCUUUCUGCCUCUCGUCCUCUGAGUCACUGCCCCACAUCCUUGUAUCCAUAAGCCUGAGAGGACGCUGCGGACGCACAAGGCGUCUGUGGAUCUCUGCAAGGUUUGCUUUUGGAUGCGGGGAGGAAUGUGACUCAGAGCCUCGAGGACUUCACUGAGACACUGCUGGUUGGCAGGAGCGUCAGUCAGCUCUGGCUGGUGCUUGGUGCUGAGGACUGAACCCGGGACUUCAAGCUUCAGGGUUUGGGGUCUGUGAUCAGUAGAGUGACCUGCAUAUGCACCUGUGUUCAUAGCAGCACAAUAUGUAACAGCCAAAACCUGGAAGCAACCCAGGUGUCCAACAACAGAUGAGUGGCCGAGCAAGUUGUGGUCUAGAUACACAAGGGAAUACUACUCAGCUGUGAAGAUGAAGUCACCUUCUUCACCUCCUCUUGGAUGGAGCUUGAAGGAAUCAUGUGAAGUGAGAUCAGCCAGAAAGAAAAGGAUCAAGAUGGGAUGAUCUCACUCAGACAGAAGUUGGAAAAUAAAACCAAAAGGGAAAAUACUAAGCAGGACUUAGACUGGAGUUGGUGUAUUACAGCAAAGAAAAAAACUCUGGGGAGGGGAGGGGUGGUGGUGAAUGUUUGGGGUCCUGGAACAUGAUGGCAGAGGAGGACCUAGAGGGAGUUUGUUAUGUGGAUAACUGAGAAAUGUCACACAUGUAAAAAUGAUUGUAUCUUAUUGUUGACUGUAAACCAUGAAUCCCCCCAGUUAAGAAAAUACAAUUUCCAAUAAAAAAAAUAGAGUAUCCUAAAGAUCUCUUGAGGCCUCAGAGACUUGCACCUAACGGAUGACAUUCAGACAAAGGCUGCUGUCAUCAAGGUCUGACAUGCUCUGGAUGUCUCCCCUACCUUGAGAGUCAUUUGUGCUUUGACAAUUCUUCCUAUUGUGUUUGCCUAAAAGCAUCUUUGAUCUUCCUGUUUCUUUUGAUGUCAUGUGUUGGAGGAGUCUGGGUGCUGUCCUACCAGACACUUCAAAUAAACUCUAUGGUGACUGAAAUUAUUUUCUCUCCAUUCGGAGUGUGUCAGGUAUCAGGGUCCAAGUCUCUAAGGCUCCACUAAAAGGCUAUUAUUCAUGGUUUGCUUUUGAAUAAGCCUGUUAUUAGUUAUUUCACACAAACCUUUUUUUCUUACAGAUUGAAAAAAAAAAACCAUCUAAUUGCCUUAAGUGCCCUUUUAAAAACCUAGACUAUCUCUUACAGGGCCGGGUGGUGGUGCACUUGGUUGAGCGGGCAUGCUAUAAUUUGCAAGGAUCAGGGCUUGAGCCCCCAGUCCCCACCUGCAGGGGGAAAGCUUUGUGAGUGGUGAAGCAAGGCUGCAGGUGUCUCUCUGUCUCUCUCCCUCUCUAUCACCCCCUUCCCUCUCGAUGUCUGGUUGCCUCUAUCCAAUAAAUGAAGAAAUAAGGAUGAUAAUAUAAAAAAGAUAAUUGAAAGAUAUUUAAGAUUUUAAAAAAUAGAGCACCUCUUAUUAACCUUAAUACAUCUUAGUGUUUUUGCUUUGACCAUAAGAGCAAGCAUUUGUUGAUGGUAACUGUGGACAGCAGAAAACCUCUGCUUUCUCCCCACAUCAAGAAUCUCUGACCUCCUGUGUGGGAAUCAUUGAUUUGAUUGUGAUGACCUUUGAGUACCUUCAGAAGCUCUGGGGCAUUAUUUUCACACAUGUUGUCCACAUUUCCUGAAGGGGUAAGCUCUCUAUUAAAAGAGAACAAUUCCUGCUUUAUGCAAUGAUCAGAAUAAUGCUAGCAAUUUUCUUUUAUAUCUAGAUAUAAAGUUUUAAUGACAACUGUGAUGAAAUCAACAGUUGCUGAGCGGAAACUGCCCUUCUUGCAUCAUGAAACAGAGUAUCAUUUUAAUUUUUUUUUUGUUGAACUCAAUGUGUAAUUCAAAGUUUGAACAAAGAAACAAAAACUAUUCUUGUCCUUUAUUUCUUUGGUUUAACUUUUAUUGGGGAAG